AUUGAACGCUGGCGGAAUGCUUUACACAUGCAAGUCGAGCGGCAGCGCGGGGCAACCUGGCGGCGAGCGGCGAACGGGUGAGUAAUGCAUCGGAACAUGUCCAUGUCGUGGGGGAUAGCCCGGCGAAAGCCGGAUUAAUACCGCAUACGCUCAAGAGAGGAAAGCCGGGGACCGCAAGGCCUGGCGCGACUGGGUUGGCCGAUGUCCGAUUAGCUAGUUGGUGAGGUAAAGGCUUACCAAGGCGAUGAUCGGUAGCUGGUCUGAGAGGAUGAUCAGCCACACGGGGACUGAGACACGGCCCAGACUCCUACGGGAGGCAGCAGUGGGGAAUUUUGGACAAUGGGGGCAACCCGGACCCAGCCAUUCCGCGUGAGUGAAGAAGGCGUUAGGGUUGUAAAGCUCUUUUGUCCGGAGCGAGACGAGCGCGGCUAAUACCUGCGUCUACUGACGGUACCGGAAGAAUAAGCACCGGCUACCUACGUGCCAGCCGCAGCAGUAAUAC
rnacentral:rRNA from 1 species